rnacentral:rRNA from 1 species
CAAUAGCGUAUAUUAAAGUUGUUGCAGUUAAAAAGCUCGUAGUUGGAUUUCUGUUCUCGAGGAUCGGUCCGCCUCACGGUGAGCACUGGUUUUUCUUGGGGACAUCCUCUCGAAGGCGGGUGGUGCACUUAAUUGUGUGCUGCUUUGGAUUCGGGACCUUUUACUUUUGAAAAAAUUAGAGUGUUCAAAGCAGGCGUCGGCUUGAAUACAUUAGCAUGGAAUAAUAAUCUAGGACUUCGGUGCUAUUUUUGUGGUUUCUGGAACUGAAGUAAUGAUUGAUAGGGGAUAGUUGGGGGUGCUAGUAUUGAGCGGCCAGAGGUGAAAUUCUUGGAUUCGCUCAAGACUAACUUAUGCGAAAGCAUUCACCAAGGAUGUCUUCUUUUAAUCAAGAACGAAAGUUGGGGGAUCGAAGAUGAUCAGAUACC